UUUGAAUUCCAAGAUGACAGUGCCCCUCUGAGUCAGGCAGGGUAUAUUUUAAGUCACAGUUACUUGAGAAGUCCCUCCCCAAAGCAGAUCACAGACAUCACUUCUUCAUCUGGUUGAGAAGCUUCUGGAUGGAGUCAGACUGCCUGGCAGAUCCUGGCUGCACUCCAGAGAACUAUGAGCACUGCCAGACAGCCCCCUGGCACUAGGGCUGGCCAAACAGUCAUGGCACAAGGAUCCUCUGUACUUUUACUGGGCACCAAGCCCAGCUCCAUCAGGGCAGAAUGUGGAGCUCAGCAGUUUGAAGUCUGGUCUCCAUGGCACUAGGGCCAAAGGCAAGCUACAGAAAUUCCAAGGCAACUGCAUUGUCUCUGGUGUAGGCACAUGACACAUUCCACCCAAAAAAUUAAGAGAGGCUGUAUCCUGUCCCUGAUCCAAGGUCUAACAGCAUUGGCAGGAUCUCAUAUGAAUGAGCACAGUACUAGAAGACAUCACGAUGAGGCCUUAUUCCAACUUCAGGUUGCAGUGUGUUUUCAACAUGGCACUUAAACUUG
rnacentral:lncRNA from 1 species